ensembl:lncRNA
UAUACAUCCUCGAAGGGGAUUUCCUGGUGAUGCUAAUGGUAAAGAACCCACCUGCCAAUGCAGAAGACAUGAGACUCGGGUUCCACCCCUGAUUUGGGAAGACCCCCCCAGAGGAGCGCAUGGCAACCCACUGUUGUAUUCUCACCUGGAGAAUCCCAUGGACAGGGGAGCCCGGCAGGCUACAGCCCAUAGGGUUGCAAAGAGUUGGACACGACUGAAAGGACUCAGCACCCAGGCAUACAUCUUUUAAAUCAAGAAAAUGUGUAAUAAGCUUAUAUAUACACACAGCAUUUUCGGAAGAGCUGGUUGUUCAACAUUUUCCAGCACAUUAUUGGGGAGAGGGCAUCUCAUCUCAGUCUGCCAUGCUGUCAAACUGCUCUCCAGAUUCUGUUGACUUAAAAUUCCAUAUCAAUCUAAUUCCUACAGCUAAAAUGUAAGUCUUUAGACUUUAAAUAGGUGGGUAUUUUAAAUAUUGUGCCUUAUUUGGGAAAUCUCUAUCUCAAAUCGAGUUUCUUUCCUUUGUGGCUCAUACUGUGUGGACUACCUGAGCUGUAUUCUCCUGAGCCAGACGUGGGAAUGAAAAUAGCAUGGAGAUGGAAACUUCCAGGAGAUGUCCUCCGCCCACCGUAUGGAAUGGCUAAAUGCCAAGAAACACUCACCUCCCAUGUUCUGUCAGCACAUGGACAGCAAACGGGGGUGUCUUGGAGAUGAUGUUGUACAGACGGGCUCAGCAACACAAGGCAGAUUCUUUACCACUGCGCCUCCUGGGAAGCCCAUGUCACAUUCUACUAAAGAAGAAAUUGCGCAAACCUGAAGUGGCCCCUGCCUCACCAAGCUUUGACUCUGAGUCAAGUUUAAAGAUGAAGUCAUUGAAAAAGCAUGACAUUUUGACCCAAGAUUCACUGCAUUUCCUUAUGGCCAAAUAGCAAGUGAAUCUGGCAUUUCUUCAUGAAGAUGUAAUCUCGAGCCCUAGGCCAAACAUUCCUUGAGGACUGGGAUUAGCUCCUGAUGCAGUCAGCACCCAAGAAAUGCUUUUAGGGUAAAGGAAAGAAUGAACAACAGACAAGCCCAGAGAACUGGAACCUUCCACAUCAAGAUGCUUGGCUUGAACUCCCACUCCCAAGGAAGUGACUCAUCGCUGCUAUCUGAUGAGACGGAAACUGAAGCACACGGAGGAAGACGAUUUUCCUAAAGCCACAUAGAAGGGGCAGAGUCAAGACUCCACCCAUGAUCCAGAGCCACACCCCCAACAAUGAGCUGCUGAUGGAAACCCUGUGAAGUCUGAACCUACCUUGAUGCUGCUGGAAGUCCCCUCUCUCCUGCCUCCCCUCCGCUCAACUUCCAGGAUUAGAACUGGAAGAACCUGAUCGUCCUGAGCGCUAUUCUGGAAGGAACUCCCAGGAGUUCCCCAGGGGAGAGUUAGGGACCAGGUGCUGGCCUACUGCAUGGCUCUGAGGCUCAGUUUCCUUAUUUGUAAAAUCACCGACUUGGAAGGAAGGACCUCUGGGGUGCCUUGGCUGCUUGUCAGCUCCCUGGGGCUCUUCUGCCCGUCAAGUCCCCGAGGCAGAGUGGCUUCUCCAACCUCAGUCCCUCCACAGUCCCUCUGGGGUGAUUUCCGUAGCCCUUUGGAAGCUGUCAAUCCCUCUGAGAAGUCAAUGAAAGUUUAAGCUAAUCCUCUGAAGAAAACAAUGCACAUUUUUAUUUCUUUAACUUCUUUUAAGUAAAACUGAUUUCCAAGGUUGUAUUAAUUUCUGCUGUACAGCAAAGUGACUCAGUUAUACCUGUUGUUAGUCAUUCAU